rnacentral:tRNA from 1 species
GCCGGGGUGGUGGAACAGGUAGACACAAGGGACUUAAAAUCCCUCGGUCCUUGUGGACCGUGCCGGUUCGAUUCCGGCCCUCGGCACAA